rnacentral:rRNA from 1 species
GACGAACGCUGGCGGCGUGCUUAACACAUGCAAGUCGAACGGAAAGGCCCUGCUUUUGUGGGGUGCUCGAGUGGCGAACGGGUGAGUAACACGUGAGUAACCUGCCCUUGACUUUGGGAUAACUUCAGGAAACUGGGGCUAAUACCGGAUAGGAGCUCCUGCUGCAUGGUGGGGGUUGGAAAGUUUCGGCGGUUGGGGAUGGACUCGCGGCUUAUCAGCUUGUUGGUGGGGUAGUGGCUUACCAAGGCUUUGACGGGUAGCCGGCCUGAGAGGGUGACCGGCCACAUUGGGACUGAGAUACGGCCCAGACUCCUACGGGAGGCAGCAGUGGGGAAUAUUGCGCAAUGGGCGGAAGCCUGAUGCAGCAACGCCGCGUGCGGGAUGACGGCCUUCGGGUUGUAAACCGCUUUCGCCUGUGACGAAGCGUGAGUGACGGUAAUGGGUAAGGAAGCACCGGCUAACUACGUG